rnacentral:rRNA from 1 species
GAUGAACGCUAGCGGCAGGCUUAAUACAUGCAAGUCGAACGGGAAUUGGGUAGCAAUACCUGAUGAUAGUGGCGCACGGGUGCGUAACGCGUAUGCAACCUACCUUUAACAGGGGGAUAGCCCGGAGAAAUUCGGAUUAAUACCCCAUAGUAUUAUGGAGAGGCAUCUUUUCAUGAUUAAAGUUCCGGCGGUUAAAGAUGGGCAUGCGUGCCAUUAGCUAGUUGGUGAGGUAACGGCUCACCAAGGCGACGAUGGUUAGGGGUCCUGAGAGGGUUAUCCCCCACACUGGUACUGAGACACGGACCAGACUCCUACGGGAGGCAGCAGUAAGGAAUACUUGGCCAAUGGGCGGAAGCCUGAACCAGCCAUGCCGCGUGCAGGAAGACGGCCUUAUGGGUUGUAAACUGCUUUUGUCAGGGAAUAAACCCUCGUUUGCGAACGAGGCUGAAGGUACCUGAAGAAUAAGCAUCGGCUAACUCCGUG